rnacentral:rRNA from 1 species
UAAGGAAUAUUGGUCAAUGGACGCAAGUCUGAACCAGCCAUGCCGCGUGGAGGAUUAAGGCCCUCUGGGUUGUAAACUCCUUUUAUCUGGGAAGAAAUGUACUUUUUCUUGAGUACUUGACGGUACCAGAGGAAUAAGCACCGGCUAACUCCGUGCCAGCAGCCGCGGUAAUACGGAGGGUGCAAGCGUUAUCCGGAUUCACUGGGUUUAAAGGGUGCGUAGGUGGGCAGGUAAGUCAGUGGUGAAAUCUCCGGGCUUAACCCGGAAACUGCCGUCGAUACUAUUUGUCUUGAAUAUUGUGGAGGUAAGCGGAAUAUGUCAUGUAGCGGUGAAAUGCUUAGAUAUGACAUAGAACACCAAUUGCGAAGGCAGCUUACUACACAAUCAUUGACGCUGAGGCACGAAAGCGUGGGGAUCAAACA